rnacentral:lncRNA from 1 species
UACCAUUUCAGUCAAUAAAUAAAAAGCAUUUUAGGGCUGUCUGCAUUGAAAGUCUGAAGGGGGUAAGAUAGAGAAAUGGGACCCAGACCCGUAUCAAGAGAAAGGUUUUCCUUCUCUAGAGGACUUUACAAAUCAGACUGAUACUCACCUAUCUGGAAUGAUUCUAGCCCUUUUAAGCAGAGAAGAGAAAGUGAGCCCUUGAGGGCCCUUCUAGUCCUGUGGUUUUAAGUAGAACAUCUUUUUUUAAGCAGGCUCCACACCCAGCAUGGAGCCUAACUUGGGGCUGGAGCUCACGACCCUGAGAUCAAGCCCUGAGCUAAGAUCAAGAGUCGGACGGACGCCGGACCGACUGAACCACCCAGGCGCCCCGGAGCGGCAAAUAUCUUAAAGGGCCUCAAAACCAGAAGCGAAGUCCAAGUGGCUCAUCCCGUCCACAAAACCACAAGCACACAAGCACUGUUAAUGAUUCUAAGAUGAGGAAAGACCCAUCGGCCGCGCCUUGUGAGAAAAACGCUCGGAAUAUUCCGUUUUGUGUCCUUGCAUAUUUUUGAAAACUGAGACUCAGAAAUUUGCAGAACGUUUUCAGUCAGAGACGUAAAAGAAAUGUUUAAAAACAUUUGCUAAUAUUGAUGGAAAGGACGACACUCCGACAACGCCCCGUGUUCACAUUAAAUCUGUGGAGACGGUGAUGUGCAAAUACAGCCAAGCGCCACUGAAAAACACACAAGAACUGGACGUGCUAUACACUUCUCUUUUAAAAUGUAUCUGUAUUAUUUUCACCAAUCAAAACACACAGAAUAUAUUUUAUUAUAAAACAUUAGGCAAUGUUACUUUCGAGAUCUGCAGUCUGAAGGUCACGCCUGUUAUUUGCUACCAGCAUGGAACACCACAGAAGGACGUCAGAAACCAACCGGACGAACUCUUACAUCGUCACCAUGACUCACACGGCAUCAGAUCUGGAUUAAACCGACAGCCCAUCCAGCAGGUCAACCAGAGAGAACUGAGCCCCGCCGCCGUUUCCAUGACCACGACUGAUCAAUACUGAGCGGUCUGAGUUUCCACAACAUUCUCCUCCUCUGAGAGAACCUAUCUGCUCUCCGAAACCAGCACUUGAGGUCAAGACCCGACCUGGGGGAGGCAGUCAUUUCCUUUCUGACUGAAAACAAAGCCAACAAGUAAAAUAAACCUAGUCCAAAUUCCA